AAACUAGGAUUAGAUACCCUAUUAUUAAAAAAUUAAAUAUAUAAAACUAAAAUAGUAAAUAAUUUAUUGAAACUUAAAUAAAUUGGCGGUAUUUUAGUUCAUUCAGAGGAAUCUGUUUAUUAAUUGAUAAUCCACGAAUAAAUUUACUUAAUUUAUUAUUUUGUAUAUCGUUGUUAAAAAAAUAUUCUUUAAUGAAAAUAAUAUUUUAAAAUUUAAAAAAGAGAUAAAAUCAGAUCAAGAUGCAGAUUAUAAUUAAGAAUAUAAUGGAUUACAAUAAAUUUAUUUAUAUAGAAUAUUAAAUUGAAAUAUUUAAUUGAAAGUGGAUUUGAAUGUAAUUUUAUUUAAAUUAAUAAAAUGAUUAAUAAUUAAAAUAUGUACAUAUUGCCCGUCGCUUCAUAUCAUAUAGUCGUAACAUAGUA
rnacentral:rRNA from 1 species